rnacentral:tRNA from 1 species
GGGCCUAUAGGCUCAGUGGUAGAGCACAUGCUUAGCAUGCAUGAGGUCCUGGGCUCAAUCCCCAGUACCUCCU